rnacentral:lncRNA from 1 species
GAACAUAGUUUCAAGAAAUCUUCAAGUUCCACAAAAGAUCUCAUUUCCAUCCCAGAUGGCCUUCUCUUACAGGUAAUGGGAUGACUGUUAUCUCAAAACAGGCAACUGAUCUCAAGAAUACCAAGG